rnacentral:rRNA from 1 species
GACGAACGCUGGCGGCGUGCCUAAUACAUGCAAGUAGAACGCUGAAGGAGUAGCUUGCUUCUCUGGAUGAGUUGCGAACGGGUGAGUAACGCGUAGGUAACCUGCCUGUUAGCGUGGGAUAACUAUUGGAAACGAUAGCUAAUACCGCAUAAUAUUUACUAUUGCAUGGUAGUCGUUUGAAAGUUUCAGCUGCAGCGCUUCCAGAUGGACCUUCGUUGUUUGUGCUAGGUGGUGGGGUAACGGCUCACCAUGGCGACGAUACGUAGCCGACAGGAGAGGGGGAUCGGCCACACUGGGACUGAGACACGGCCCAGACUCCUACGGGAGGCAGCAGUAGUGCAUCUUCGGCAAUGGACGGAAGUCUGAGCGAGCAACGCCGCGUGAGUGAAGAAGGUUUUCGGGUCGUAAAGCUCUGUUGUAAGAGAAGAAAGAGUGUGAGAGUGGAAAGCUCACACUGUGACGGUAACUUACCAGAAAGGAACGGCUAACUACGUG